AGUGAACGCUGGCGGUAGGCCUAACACAUGCGAGUCGAACGGCAGCACAGUAAGAGCUUGCUCUUACGGGUGGCGAGUGGCGGACGGGUGAGGAAUACAUCGGAAUCUACUUUUUCGUGGGGGAUAACGUAGGGAAACUUACGCUAAUACCGCAUACGACCUACGGGUGAAAGCAGGGGGUCUUCGGACCUUGCGCGAUUGAAUGAGCCGAUGUCGGAUUAGCUAGUUGGCGGGGUAAAGGCCCACCAAGGCGACGAUCCGUAGCUGGUCUGAGAGGAUGAUCAGCCACACUGGAACUGAGACACGGUCCAGACUCCUACGGGAGGCAGCAGUGGGGAAUAUUGGACAAUGGGCGCAAGCCUGAUCCAGCCAUACCGCGUGGGUGAAGAAGGCCUUCGGGUUGUAAAGCCCUUUUGUUGGGAAAGAAAAGCAGCAGGUUAAUACCCCGCUGUUCUGACGGUACCCAAAGAAUAAGCACCGGCUAACUUCGUG
rnacentral:rRNA from 1 species